UGCAGUCGACUCGAGUCUUCGGACUUGGGUGGCGCACGGGUGAGUAACGCGUAAAGAACUUGCCUCUUAGACCGGGACAACAUCUGGAAACGGAUGCUAAUACCGGAUAUUAUGGUUUUUUCGCAUGGAGGAAUCAUGAAAGCUAGAUGCGCUAAGAGAGAGCUUUGCGUCCCAUUAGCUCGUUGGUGAGGUAACGGCCCACCAAGGCAAUGAUGGGUAGCCGGCCUGAGAGGGUGAACGGCCACAAGGGGACUGAGACACGGCCCUUACUCCUACGGGAGGCAGCAGUGGGGAAUAUUGGACAAUGGACCACAAGUCUGAUCCAGCAAUUCUGUGUGCACGAUGACGUUUUUCGGAAUGUAAAGUGCUUUCAGUCGGGAAGAAGUCAGUGACGGUACCGACAGAAGAAGCGACGGCUAAAUACGUGCCAGCAGCCGCGGUAAUACGUAUGUCGCAAGCGUUAUCCGGAUUUAUUGGGCGUAAAGCGCGUCUAGGCGGCAAGGAAAGUCUGAUGUGAAAAUGCGGAGCUCAACUCCGUAUGGCGUUGGAAACUGCCUUACUAGAGUACUGGAGAGGUAGGCGGAACUACAAGUGUAGAGGUGAAAUUCGUAGAUAUUUGUAGGAAUGCCGAUGGGGAAGCCAGCCUACUGGACAGAUACUGACGCUAAAGCGCGAAAGCGUGGGUAGCAAACAGGAUUAGAUACC
rnacentral:rRNA from 1 species